rnacentral:lncRNA from 7 species
UCUAUAAAGGUAUAGCUCAGAUUUCAGCUUGUGAAAAUGAGCUGAUAAGGAAAUUCUCUUAUUGCUCUUUUUUUUUUUUUUUAGAAAAGUAAAGUGGUUAAUACCUGCUAAUUAUAUUAGUAAGCAGUGCUAAUGCAACGACAGCAUCACCUAAUCUUCAAGACAAUGGACUAAAGUCUUAUUCAAUGCAAAACUCCAGUAGAAAUGAGACAAUAAAAUCUGCACUCUGCCUUAAGACAAAAUAAAGCCACUGGGCUGGGCGCACCAAAGCAGUUGGAGAUCCCUUCUAAAAAAGCAUGGAGAGAAGUCCAAGAAGAUACCUGCUCAUUGGAGUGAGAUGCCUACUUGCUGGUGUUGGCCAGUAACCUUCACAUGCUUGCUGCAGGCAAAGGCCAUCAGAGUAAAUUCUGACAAUACAUGUUGUAAAGGGAACGAGAACACUAUUCAGAAGCUGAAACAGACUACAUUGGUUUUAGCUUUAUUUGGGAUCAAAAUCUUUUAGAAAAAGAUGUUGCAGUACUACCAAGCCCAAGUGUUCAAAGAUGUCAGGAGAAGUAAAAGGAAAAACUGUCAUGAUUGUGCCAAUACAAGAAAAAAAGCAGAAAGUAUGAGCAGAGGGAAUAACUUUAGCUCUUCCCUGCAAUGAAUGAGAUGAAGAGCAAGCUGAAAGGCAGAAAGUGAAUUUGGAUAAAACAACAGCAGGCAAUCCAGAUGCUCUGAGAACAUUCAAGAAUAAGGUUAUGAAAAACUUCAGCCAAAGAAAGGCAAAAAAAAAUAAUGAAGAAAGGCUGUUACAAAAGUGCUUACCAUUGUGAAACUGGAGGAACAGUGUGAUUCUCACCCCAGAAGCUAUAACAAAACACAAAGCACAAGAUCUGACAUGUUCAGGUAAACACAGACAACAACGUUAGUGAGAGAAACUAGAUCUAUUCUUUCCAGACACUGGAAGACAAUUCAGAGGUAACUGCUUUCUACAUUUCUAUUAGUACAGCUUUAUGCUUUACAUGAACACUAUAUGCAGACCUUCACAUCUUUACAGUGUAAGAAUAGGUCCCAUCCAAAUGCCAAGACACUGAGAUGUCAAAUAUGGGUAGAUAUUAGUAACCAUUUGCAUAUUUAUGUAUAUUUUAAGAAAUAAGGGGGUCUGAACUCUAUAUCAGCCAAUAUGUACAUUCCCUUUCCAUACUAUUGACAUUAAUUCACUGUGUAGUACGGUUAAUGUUUUCAACAGAGAUCCAAUCCCUUGAAAUACUUGCUUUCUUCAAAACCAGUUCUUCAAUUCAAUGAGUCUCGCUCAGCUCUUUAUGUACAGCACUAAUACAUACUGCAUGUAUUACACAUGCUAGAGAUUGCCUAUUUCAAUACUUUUUCAGAAAUACUGUGGGAGCCCCUCUUUCCCAACAAUUCAUAUAAACACUCUAUUCUGGGAAAACAGAAGUAAACUUUCAUUUGGGAAUAAUUACUCUGCUGUGAGAGCAGAUCAAUUAGUCCAUAAUUGAGGGUCAACAUGGGAAUGGGCUGAAACAAGUCAUGUCACAACAGAACAGCCAUGUCAGCCUGCCUCCUUCAGAAAAGCUCUGUUGUGUAACUGUGUGUGUAGCUUUCACUUUUCUUUUUGCAGGCUAACAAAAUUUUCUAUAGCAGGUUUGAGCAAUGUAACUGAUCCUGAUCCAUAUGGGUCUGGGCAUGCUCAGCAAUUACUGAAUUCAGAAUAUCUUUACACAUACAUAUGAAAGGAAGGGCAGGAUUUUCUCAAAACAAUAUGAAUCAAUGCCUUAAUUAAUGUAAAAAUAAUUGAAGGCAUGUAUAGCUCACAGAACAGACUCUACUUGGGGAUGCUAACACCGUUUGAAGGCAUUCGUGGAGCAACGGAAGACGAUUUCAGAAUGAACUUGGAGUUUGAGAGUAUCUAAAAGUGUAACACUAACGUAAAAUUUAAAAAAAGAUUUCAGAGACAGAGAGAGGGAUAGAUUUUCUCCAGUAUUAUUUACUGUGCAGCAAGCAUUCACAAUGUCAGAGGCCAAACCUUCACAGAGUCUUCUCAUUACCACUGAGACUGAUUCAGGUCAAAUCAGCACUAAGAAAUACAAUUUUUUUUUUUUUUGUUAAUUGGUCAUUUUUUAUUUAAUUUGGAUACUUAGAUCUGUGUCAGCUGUUGGAAAAUUCUUGUUUACAAGUUUCUUUUUCUUCUUUUUCUUCUUUUUUCUUUUAGUUGGAGAAAUAAGUUGCCAAGUAUGCACU